AUUGAACGCUGGCGGCAUGCCUUACACAUGCAAGUCGAACGGCAGCACGGGUGCUUGCACCUGGUGGCGAGUGGCGAACGGGUGAGUAAUACAUCGGAACAUGUCCUGUAGUGGGGGAUAGCCCGGCGAAAGCCGGAUUAAUACCGCAUACGAUCUACGGAUGAAAGCGGGGGACCUUCGGGCCUCGCGCUAUAGGGUUGGCCGAUGGCUGAUUAGCUAGUUGGUGGGGUAAAGGCCUACCAAGGCGACGAUCAGUAGCUGGUCUGAGAGGACGACCAGCCACACUGGGACUGAGACACGGCCCAGACUCCUACGGGAGGCAGCAGUGGGGAAUUUUGGACAAUGGGCGAAAGCCUGAUCCGGCAAUGCCGCGUGUGUGAAGAGGGCCUUCGGGUUGUAAAGCACUUUUGUCCGGAAAGAAAUCCUUGGCUCUAAUACAGCCGGGGGAUGACGGUACCGGAAGAAUAAGCACCGGCUAACUACGUG
rnacentral:rRNA from 1 species